GGGCGUAAGAGCUCGUAGGCGGUUUGUCGCGUCUGCCGUGAAAGUCCGGGGCUCAACUCCGGAUCUGCGGUGGGUACGGGCAGACUAGAGUGAUGUAGGGGAGACUGGAAUUCCUGGUGUAGCGGUGAAAUGCGCAGAUAUCAGGAGGAACACCGAUGGCGAAGGCAGGUCUCUGGGCAUUAACUGACGCUGAGGAGCGAAAGCAUGGGGAGCGAACAGGAUUAGAUACCCUGGUAGUCCAUGCCGUAAACGUUGGGCACUAGGUGUGGGGGACAUUCCACGUUUUCCGCGCCGUAGCUAACGCAUUAAGUGCCCCGCCUGGGGAGUACGGCCGCAAGGCUAAAACUCAAAGGAAUUGACGGGGGCCCGCACAAGCGGCGGAGCAUGCGGAUUAAUUCGAUGCAACGCGAAGAACCUUACCAAGGCUUGACAUGAACCGGAAAUACCUGGAAACAGGUGCCCCGCUUGCGGUCGGUUUACAGGUGGUGCAUGGUUGUCGUCAGCUCGUGUCGUGAGAUGUUGGGUUAAGUCCCGCAACGAGCGCAACCCUCGUUCUAUGUUGCCAGCGCGUUAUGGCGGGGACUCAUAGGAGACUGCCGGGGUCAACUCGGAGGAAGGUGGGGACGACGUCAAAUCAUCAUGCCCCUUAUGUCUUGGGCUUCACGCAUGCUACAAUGGCCGGUACAAAGGGUUGCGAUACUGUGAGGUGGAGCUAAUCCCAAAAAGCCGGUCUCAGUUCGGAUUGGGGUCUGCAACUCGACCCCAUGAAGUCGGAGUCGCUAGUAAUCGCAGAUCAGCAACGCUGCGGUGAAUACGUUCCCGGGCCUUGUACACACCCGCCCGUCA
rnacentral:rRNA from 1 species